UUAAGCCAUGCGAGUCAAAUGUUCUUCGUGAACAUGGCGUACUGCUCAGUAACACGUGGAUAACCUGCCUUAGGACUGGCAUAACCCCGGGAAACUGGGGAUAAUUCCGGAUAGUUCAUGGUAGCUGGAAUGCUCCAUGAUCGAAAGCUAUUGCGCCUAAGGAUGGGUCUGCGGUCUAUCAGGUAGUAGUGGGUGUAAUGUACCUACUAGCCGACGACGGAUACGGGUUGUGGGAGCAAGAGCCCGGAGAUGGAUUCUGAGACAUGAAUCCAGGCCCUACGGGGCGUAGCAGGCGCGAAAACUUUACAAUGCGGGAAACCGCGAUAAGGGGACACCGAGUGCCAGCAUCUUAUGUUGGCUGUCCGCAUGUAUAAAUCACAUGUGUUAGCAAGGGCCGGGCAAGACCGGUGCCAGCCGCCGCGGUAACACCGGCGGCCCGAGUGGUGGCCACUAUUAUUGGGUCUAAAGGGUCCGUAGCCGGUUUGGUCAGUCUUCCGGGAAAUCUGACGGCUUAACCGUUAGGCUUUCGGGGGAUACUACCAGGCUUGGGACCGGGAGAGGUAAGAGGUACUACGGGGGUAGGAGUGAAAUCUUGUAAUCCUCGUGGGACCACCAGUGGCGAAGGCGUCUUACCAGAACGGGUCCGACGGUGAGGGACGAAAGCUGGUGGCACGAACCGGAUUAGAUACCCGGGUAGUCCCAGCCGUAAACUAUGCUCGCUAGGUGUCAGGGACGGUGCGACCGUUUCUGGUGCCGCAGGGAAGCCGUGAAGCGAGCCACCUGGGAAGUACGGUCGCAAGGCUGAAACUUAAAGGAAUUGGCGGGGGAGCACUACAACGGGUGGAGCCUGCGGUUUAAUUGGACUCAACGCCGGAAAACUCACCGGAGGCGACAGCAAUAUGUAGG
rnacentral:rRNA from 1 species